AUCGCUUCUCGGCCUUUUGGCUAAGAUCAAGUGUAGUAUCUGUUCUUAUCAGUUUAAUAUCUGAUACGUCCCCUAUCUGGGGACCAUAUAUUAAAAGGAUUUUUGAAACGCCGGAGCUGGAAUGCGGGGCUUGCUCCGCCACUCCACGCAUCGACUUGGUAUUGCAGUGUCUCCAGGAACGGUGCAAUUCCC